GCUCGAACACCACCCAUAACUUCCUCCUUCAGAUUCGUAAACCACCGACGCCCGACGGUAAUUCCCCUUUCUCGCUCUCUCAAUUUCUUUUGCACGCUGUUCUCCUAGUAAAAGGGUUCGUCGAAAUAUGCGGUUCAAAUUGCCUUGGAAUUGAAAACCAUCCUCUCCCAAAGUCAAAACCUUCAAAAUCAAACUCCUCAUCCUUCACUAUCCUUCCAAACUUCAGCUCCUCUUUAUUUGCAAACGCAUCUUUUGACUCUUCUCUUCUGGGUUUGACUUUGAAGGCUUCAAGCUCUCUAGGUAUGUGCCUUGGAAGGCUUCGAUUUUGGGUUCAAGUUGUCUACGUUUGCUAAUCAAGAUUCAUUGUGAGGCUCGGCAAAGCACACUACAUUCAGCUCUCAAGCAAGAUUUGGUAUUGGUACGCAGGGGUAAUAUGCACCUACUAUUUCUGGACAACCACAAUAUAAAGGAAUGGACUUUGAUAUCACAUGAGAGGGUUAUGCAGAUUUGGGGAUAUCGGUGGAUGUCGUUGCCACCAGUGAAGUCAGUAUUUCCUUGACAUUGGACCCAUCAAAACUUUGGAGUAGGGAGCUUAUUCAGCAGACAAGCGUAUGGAACUUGACCAUGUUGUGGAAGAACUGGAGAAAAUUGUUGUCGUUCAUGAAUUAGAGGAUGAUCAUGGAAUUGGUACCUACAGCUCCUUGGUGCUCUGGUAGUGUACUUUCUUUUAUUACUGUUGAAAAAGAAGGUUUUUGUAAUCAGGGGUUUAGGCAUCACGUCCCCGCCCCCUUGUACUCGACGGUUUCAUUAAUGAAGGUUUGAGGGUAAUCGUACUAACCCUUACAUCAAAAAAAAGCAAGCAAGAUUGCAUUAUAUAUGGAGUCUAUUAAAUAUAUGAUUAAUUUGAUUGGUGUUGUAGGAGAAUUACUCUCCGUAAUCUUCUGGUGUAUCUUGUCCUAAUUAGUAUAGGUUAGUCUAGAUCAGGAAUGAUAUAUAAUCUAUUAUU